GCUUAGCAUAUCAAUAAGCGGAGGAAAAGAAACCAACUGGGAUUGCCUUAGUAACGGCGAGUGAAGCGGCAAUAGCUCAAAUUUGAAAGCUGGCGUCUUUGGCGUCCGCGUUGUAAUUUGUAGAGGAUGCUUCGGCGAGGGCUCCGGUCUAAGUUCCCUGGAACGGGACGUCAUAGAGGGUGAGAAUCCCGUAUGUGAUCGGUUGCCUAAGCCAUGUGAAGCUCCUUCGACGAGUCGAGUUGUUUGGGAAUGCAGCUCUAAAUGGGAGGUAAAUUUCUUCUAAAGCUAAAUACCGGCCAGAGACCGAUAGCGCACAAGUAGAGUGAUCGAAAGAUGAAAAGCACUUUGGAAAGAGAGUUAAAAAGUACGUGAAAUUGUUGAAAGGGAAGCGCUUGCAACCAGACUCGUCCGCAGUUGCUCAGCCGGUCUCUUGACCGGCGUACUCUUCUGCGGCCGGGCCAGCAUCAGUUCGGGCGGCCGGAUAAAGGCCUCGGGAAUGUAGCACCCUUCGGGGUGUGUUAUAGCCCGGGGUGGAAUGCGGCCAGCCUGGACUGAGGAUCUCGCUUCGGCUAGGAUGCUGGCGUAAUGGUUGUAAGCGGCCCGUCUUGAAACACGGACCAAGGAGUCUAACAUCUAUGCGAGUGUUUGGGUGUCAAACCCAUGCGCGUAAUGAAAGUGAACGGAGGUGGGAACCCUCACGGGUGCACCAUCGACCGAUCCUGAUGUCUUCGGAUGGAUUUGAGUAUGAGCAUAGCUGUUGGGACCCGAAAGAUGGUGAACUAUGCCUGAAUAGGGUGAAGCCAGAGGAAACUCUGGUGGAGGCUCGCAGCGGUUCUGACGUGCAAAUCGAUCGUCAAAUUUGGGUAUAGGGGCGAAAGACUAAUCGAACCAUCUAGUAGCUGGUUCCUGCC
rnacentral:rRNA from 1 species